CUGAAUUUUCCAUUCAGUUUUUCCAUUCAGCUACUGCCCCCAAAAGCAGUAGCCAGCUGUGCUCUGUCUUCAGUAAUAUGGGAAUUGAAAUGCCUUGAUAGGAAGUUUGAGGUUGGAUCGCUGAAAUAAGUUUUGCCUGUGGCUGUUGCGGAAAAUUCCAUGUGGAUGUGCAAGCUUAUCAUCUGAUCUUCCAAGAUGCUGGAAUGUCCUCUAUUAUGUUCCCAGCAAUCUGGUGGCCAUCAACACCUUACUGAUAAACUGGAAAUCUUCACCUUCUUCCAUCCUCACCUCUCAAAUGACCCAUGAAAGAGUCUUGGAGAUCAAAGAAAUCCUCUGCCAUCCUUAUCCUUCGGACAGAGAGACUGAUGAGAUUUAGCACCCAUGUGGGAAUAUGAGCAUUGAUUUGAAGAACAAAGAAGCAACGACCUUUUGUCUGCUGCUGUCACUCCAUGCUUCACC
rnacentral:lncRNA from 1 species